AUCCAGCUGACGGGUCUCAUAUAAAACGAAACGAGCGUCCUGGAU
rnacentral:hammerhead_ribozyme from 1 species